AAACCCAGAAAUUCAACUUGAAUUGCAAAGCCAAAAUCUUCAAAACGAACUUAGGAAAUCAAUAAUUGCUAGGGUUGCAAUUUAAUCUCCAAAGUAACCAAGUAAAACUAGAAUAAUAAUCUCUAACCCCCAAAAACGAGGUUUACAUGCCCUAUUUAUUGAAAACAAAUCCUAAAUUAAAAGGGAAACAAAUUAAGGAAAGUUUGUUCAAGCACGCGUCUUCAUUCCACGAGACUGACUUACGGACCGUCAAUGGAUCUACGGUCCGUAAGUCCCUUCCGUCAACCAGGACUUAGAAAAUAUUUCAGCUUCCAAAAAUCAGCUUCUCUGAAGCAAACGAUAGACUUACAGUACGGACCAUAGAUCGAUCUACGGUUCGUCAAUAUCCUUCGUAGCUCCACACUUGGAAUCUUCAAAAAUCAGGUACUAGAACCCUCGCAGUAUCAAUCUACGGAUCAACAGUACGGUCCGUAAAUCAAUCUACGGACCGUCAAUGGCCACCGUGGUUCCACACUUGGUCAGAUUUCCCUGAUUUGUCUUCCAUACCUUGCCAACUAAUCUACGGUCAUCACCUACGGACCUUCAAUGGACCUACGGUCCGUAGAUCACCUCCGUGAAUGCCCUUUUUCUGCAUUUCUUUCAGCUAUCUCUAUACUUCCGCGCCUGAACAUCUUUCCUGCAAAAUAUGAUAAAAACACAUAAAAACCAAUACAAAAAGGCCCUAGACACACACAACUUGUAAGUGAACUGUAUUAGAAAUACCGUAAAACUCACGGUAUAUCACAUACCUCAAAGAACUAGGUUCUUGGUGAAAUCUUGAAUUUCUUGAAUGAACGCUUGAAACUUUGAACUUUUUCUCCUCUUGAAUCUUCUCUCUAAAAAUCCUAAACUCUUUGGGGAUGAAUGAAAUUGAUUCUAAUCAGUUUAGACCCUUAAUUGGGUGAAAUUCGCGUUUAGAAUAAGUGGGGGUAAGAAAAAGACUAAAUUACCCGGUCCUAUUCUCGGGUAACUUUCCUUAAAUGGAUAGCCUGACUUCAAAAGGGCAUAUCUCCUUCAUACGAGCUUGAAAAUUAGCACUCUCGGUGGCGUUGGAAAGAGGACUCAAAGAUAUUUCGUUUGAUAUCUUAUGGGUCUCCUAACUCAUUCUGUACUGAAAGUUAUGGUCGUUUGAAGUUGACUCUAAACUUAAAAGAACUAAGGAAUGACUUGAAUGAAUUCUCUUUAAUUCUUUUUGGAACUCAAGGUGCUAUAUCUAGUGACCUGACCUUAACACUUAAGAAAUUAUAAAUUCCUUGGUAAAAUCCUACUCACAACGAAGAAGGGUUCGAGUCUUAGUUCAAAAAACUUCUGGAGUGUUACAAUAAUACCUCUCAUCUCUUCAACAUACA
rnacentral:lncRNA from 1 species